GGGGAUUUAGCUCAGUGGGAGAGCGCCUUGUCGCCCAGGAGGCCGUGGGUUCGAUCCCCACAAUCUCCA
rnacentral:tRNA from 1 species